rnacentral:lncRNA from 1 species
AUUGAAUCCCUCAUAAGAAACUUCCUGUUACAGUAACUAAAUCCGAUCGAUUAGUGAAAGCAAUGGAGACCAAUAUGAUUUCGGCAAUAGUUUUUCUUUACCUUUGUAAUUUGAUUUUUCCAACAUCUGGUAAGUAAGACUAUCAUUUAAUUUAUGUCGUGUUCACAACAAAUGUAAAUGUUUUUUUGGAAAUCAAGACUUGUAUAUGCAUCACAAAUAUUCGUUUAUGAACAUUCAUUUUAACGGUAAUGUACUACACUUUCUCGAAGAGGAUAACCUUGGUUUGGAUUUGUAUGAAUAAGUUGAUCGCAAAACAUUAUGCACCAAUAUACAACCAUUCCUUUUGUUGAGAUAGCUAGAAAAGGCAUUGAGUAAUGCCACACACCAAGAAAAAAAAAAUUAUAUACUAUUUUUGAAUACAUUUGGCAGUUGUCUACACAUCAUUUGAUAAUCUAAAACAUAUCGUUUCACGUUUGAAAAACAUGUUAAAAUAUCUAAUACAAGUGUGGCAAAUACAAGAUUCCAAAAACGGAAAGCUAAAGCUUGAAUACUUUAAGUGGACCACUUAUCGUAAAUGAAAGGGGAGAUAAUACAUCUACAAAACUGCACACUUACCCUGGUAUAUGUUCUUGUUAAUGAUUCUAUAGCUACAAACUAAGCAUCUAGAAGAUAUCAUCUUAUACUAUCUAUAAGGAACGAAACUAUGCUUAUCGCUGACCUUUGUUUUAGAGGUUUACAAUAUUGAGCAGCAUUUUAGAUUCUGUAUUGAAGCAGUUUGUGGAAUUUUAACGACAAAACCGUGCGACCGAAACUUCAAAUACAAAUCGAAAAUAUGUUUGCAUAUUUCUAACUCUGUAAUUUUGGACUUGAUUUCAACCUUACUUUAGAUUUCUUAUGCUAUUUUUAGCUCAGGAGCCUUACACGCAUACAGUGUGUGAGUACACAUCGCCGACUAGAUACUAUUAUUGUCCAUUGUUAGAAGAAUGUUGUUACCUCAAUGGUAAAUGGAAAUGCAUAGACACAGUCUUCAGCGCUGUCCAUGGCGAUUAUGGAAAGCAACCGAGUUGUGAAAAGUAUUAAAUAUUUGUCCUAUAAAUUCUUGCCAUGAAACGAACUUUUCAUUAAGUUCUCACUUAUUUUUGUUCUUCCGUUAAUUUAUUUUCUUGUGCUGUUCUGCAACUAGACAUGCUAGUAUAUGAUAAGAUAUGAAUCAUCCGAUACAAUAGCGUUUUGGAAUCUUCUUUUAAAUCCAAUACUGUUUUUGAUAAAAGUUACCUUUCUCAACACAAAUUUUUAUACUUGAAGGGUCAAGUGAGCUAUUGUAAGCACUCUACGUUCCAAAAAUGUUCUCCUGAUUAUUUUUGGAACCCUUUCAAGUUAGAAAUUCCGACAGGAGUAAAAUGGUUGUGUUAAUAAAGAAUUUCAGACAACUUCUUCUUGGAGUAGUUGCCUUUGAAUAACAAAUUUGAUCAUUUCUAAAAGCAAACGUUAUUUUUGUUUUAAAUAUCUUGCAUUGGAUUAUGAAAUUACGACAUUACCAUCGAUUUUUGAUAUUUCAAAAGGAUGAAUAUGAUUUUGCAUGAUUUUGCCAUUUUUGAAGCAAUCAAAUCUUUCUAACACUCAUUUGAAUUUUAAUGUUGACAAUUUACAUUUUUUACAUAGUACAUAAUAUUUUAAUCUAGAUUUAAUUUGAUAAAGUUUAAGUUCAUCGCAUGUCAUAGUAAUACAAUUUUAAGACCAUCAAUGGCAACUACUACAUUUCACUUUUUGUUAAAUUUAUUUAACUUACUGUACUUUUUUUUUAACUGCAAUUCAAAUUUCAUAAUUUCAGAAAACCGACGCAGUCAAAAGACCCUUCGACGAUAAACACAUAUCCAACAGAUAACUCUGAUGAGACGA